rnacentral:rRNA from 1 species
UGCAAGUCGAGCGGAACGAGUUAUCUGAACCUUCGGGGAACGAUAACGGCGUCGAGCGGCGGACGGGUGAGUAAUGCCUAGGAAAUUGCCCUGAUGUGGGGGAUAACCAUUGGAAACGAUGGCUAAUACCGCAUGAUGCCUACGGGCCAAAGAGGGGGACCUUCGGGCCUCUCGCGUCAGGAUAUGCCUAGGUGGGAUUAGCUAGUUGGUGAGGUAAGGGCUCACCAAGGCGACGAUCCCUAGCUGGUCUGAGAGGAUGAUCAGCCACACUGGAACUGAGACACGGUCCAGACUCCUACGGGAGGCAGCAGUGGGGAAUAUUGCACAAUGGGCGCAAGCCUGAUGCAGCCAUGCCGCGUGUAUGAAGAAGGCCUUCGGGUUGUAAAGUACUUUCAGUCGUGAGGAAGGCGGCGUCGUUAAUAGCUGCGUUGUUUGACGUUAGCGACAGAAGAAGCACCGGCUAACUCCGUGCCAGCAGCCGCGGUAAUACGGAGGGUGCGAGCGUUAAUCGGAAUUACUGGGCGUAAAGCGCAUGCAGGUGGUUUGUUAAGUCAGAUGUGAAAGCCCGGGGCUCAACCUCGGAAUAGCAUUUGAAACUGGCAGACUAGAGUACUGUAGAGGGGGGUAGAAUUUCAGGUGUAGCGGUGAAAUGCGUAGAGAUCUGAAGGAAUACCGGUGGCGAAGGCGGCCCCUGGACAGAUACUGACACUCAGAUGCGAAAGCGUGGGGAG